UACGGAGGGUGCAAGCGUUACCCGGAAUCACUGGGCGUAAAGGGCGUGUAGGCGGUACGUUAAGUCUGGUUUUAAAGACCGGGGCUCAACCCCGGAAGUGGACUGGAUACUGGCGUGCUAGACCUCUGGAGAGAGAACCGGAAUUCCUGGUGUAGCGGUGGAAUGCGUAGAUACCAGGAGGAACACCGAUGGCGAAGGCAGGUUCUUGGACAGAAGGUGACGCUGAGGCGCGAAAGUGUGGGGAGCGAACCGG
rnacentral:rRNA from 1 species